AUACGGAGGGUGCAAGCGUUAAUCGGAUUUACUGGGCGUAAAGCGCGCGUAGGCGGCUAAUUAAGUCAAAUGUGAAAUCCCCGAGCUUAACUUGGGAAUUGCAUUCGAUACUGGUUAGCUAGAGUGUGGGAGAGGAUGGUAGAAUUCCAGGUGUAGCGGUGAAAUGCGUAGAGAUCUGGAGGAAUACCGAUGGCGAAGGCAGCCAUCUGGCCUAACACUGACGCUGAGGUGCGAAAGCAUGGGGAGCAAACAGGAUUAGAGACCCCCGUAGUCC
rnacentral:rRNA from 1 species